UGGCGGAAUGCUUUACACAUGCAAGUCGAGCGGCAGCGCGGGGCAACCUGGCGGCGAGCGGCGAACGGGUGAGUAAUAUAUCGGAACGUGUCCUGUAAUGGGGGAUAGCCCGGCGAAAGCCGGAUUAAUACCGCAUACGAUCUACGGAUGAAAGUGGGGGACCGCAAGGCCUCACGUUAUAGGAGCGGCCGAUAUUCGAUUAGCUUGUUGGUGAGGUAAAGGCUCACCAAGGCUACGAUCGAUAGCUGGUCUGAGAGGAUGAUCAGCCUGACUGGAACUGAGAACGGUCCAGACUCCUACGGGAGGCAGCAGUAGGGAAUUUUCCGCAAUGGGCGAAAGCCUGACGGAGCAACGCCGCGUGCAGGAGGAAGGCCCUAGGGUCGUAAACUGCUUUUAUCUGCGACGAUUUUGACGGUAGCAGAAGAAUAAGGAUCGGCUAAUUCCGUGCCAGCAGCCGCGGUCAUACGGAAGAUCCGAGCGUUAUCCGGAAUUACUGGGCGUAAAGAGUUGCGUAGGUGGCAUAGUAAGCGAGCAGUGAAAGACUCCGGCUCAACCGGAGGUACAUUGUUCGAACUACUAAGCUAGAACAUAGUAGAGGUACCUGGAAUUCCAAGUGUAGGAGUGAAAUCCGUAGAUAUUUGGAGGAACACCGAUGGCGUAGGCAGGGUACUGGGCUAUUGUUGACACUAAGGCACGAAAGCGUGGGGAGCGA
rnacentral:rRNA from 1 species